GAUGAACGCUGGCGGCGUGCCUAAUACAUGCAAGUCGAGCGAACGGACGAGAAGCUUGCUUCUCUGAUGUUAGCGGCGGACGGGUGAGUAACACGUGUAUAACCUACCUAUAAUUCUGGGAUAACUUCGGGAAACCGGAUCUAAUACCGGAUAAUAUUUUGAACCUCAUUGUUCAAAAGUGAAAGACGGUCUUUCUGUCUCUUAUAGAUGGAUCCGCGCUGCAUUAGCUAGUUGGUAAGGUAACGGCUUACCAAGGCAACGAUGAAUAGCCGACCUGAGAGGGUGAUCGGCCACACUGGAACUGAGACACGGAACAGACGCGUACGGGAGGCAGCAGUAGGGAAUAGUCCGCAAUGGGCGAAAGCCUGACGGAGCAACGCCGCGUGAGUGAUGAAGGUCUUCGGAUCGUAAAACUCUGUUAUUAGGGAAGAAAAUAUGUGUAAGGAACUGUGCACAGAUUGACGGUAACUAAUCAGAAAGCCACGGCUAACUACGUG
rnacentral:rRNA from 1 species